AGUCAUCCCUCAUUUACCUUCUGUCUUUCUGUUGGUUUAUCCAAUAAAACUCAAUAGAAUACGUUAAUGCUUGUGCUUUUAAUGUGAAAAAAUGUGAAAUAAGAGAUAUGAGAACUUUUGCGACUGGCUGCAAACUCCACUCAGAAAUGGUUGACACUUCAUCCAAAUCGGGAACAACUGCAGUGCCUACAACUAAAAUGUUCUGUGAGUUGCAGCAAAGUGGUGGAAAACAUGAAUCUGGAGCUAUAAUAAUAGCUCCCUGUUCUUAAAAUCAGUGCAUACACUGUCCUUUUUUUUUUGUUUAUCAAUUUUGAGAAGCAUGUCACCUUGAUUUUAUCUACAAGGUGUUGUGUGCCAGGAAAAAAAAAAAACAUAGAUGGGAUCAAGAGUCAUGAAUACAUAAUGCGGGAAUGUUGACGGUCCUUCUAGCAUCAAAAGCUGCUCGGACAAGUCCAAAUAUACGCACCUGUUGAAGAAGGAGAAUCGCUACCCCGCUUGUGUGUGAGCUACGACAAAACCACCAGAGUCGGUUUCUGGAAACCGCUGCGAGCAAAUCAGACGAGUCCGAGUAGCGCCAUCUUCCUACGGGGCUGAGCUCGACGUGGCUUUUGGACGUACAGUGUGAGCAGUCAGAUCGCAUCAGAGCAUCGGGCCGUACAGUGUAA